rnacentral:lncRNA from 1 species
CACGGGACCAAAAGUUAAGAAUCUACAUACACAGUCAUGACAGUUAAAUUCGGCAUAUCAAAGAACCCCAAUUAUUCAAUUUUGAUGAAAUCAAACAAAGUUUAAUUUUGGACCCUUUUGGCCCCUUAUUCUGUUGGGACCUAAACUCCCAAAAUCAAUACCAACCUUCCUUUUAUGGUCAUAAACCUUGUGUUUAAAUUUCAUAGAUUUCUAUUUUCUUAUACUAACGUUAUGGUGCGAAAACCAAGAAAAAUGCUUAUUUGGGUCCUUU